AGUGAACGCUGGCGGUAGGCCUAACUCAUGCAAGUCGAACGGCAGCACAGGAGAGCUUGCUCUCUGGGUGGCGAGUGGCGGACGGGUGAGGAAUACAUCGGAAUCUACUUUUUCGUGGGGGAUAACGUAGGGAAACUUACGCUAAUACCGCAUACGACCUACGGGUGAAAGCAGGGGACCUUCGGGCCUUGCGCGAUUGAAUGAGCCGAUGUCGGAUUAGCUAGUUGGCGGGGUAAAGGCCCACCAAGGCGACGAUCCGUAGCUGGUCUGAGAGGAUGAUCAGCCACACUGGAACUGGGACACGGUCCAGACUCCUACGGGAGGCAGCAUUGGGGAAUAUUGGACAAUGGGCGCAAGCCUGAUCCAGCCAUACCGCGUGGGUGAAGAAGGCCUUCGGGUUGUAAAGCCCUUUUGUUGGGAAAGAAAUCCAGCUGGCUAAUACCCGGUUGGGAUGACGGUACCUGAAGAAUAAGCACCGGCUAACUACGUGCCAGCAGCCGCCGUAA
rnacentral:rRNA from 1 species